rnacentral:rRNA from 1 species
GACGAACGCUGGCGGCGUGCUUAACACAUGCAAGUCGAACGAUGAAACCGGAGCUUGCUCCGGUGGAUUAGUGGCGAACGGGUGAGUAACACGUGAGUAACCUGCCCUUGACUCUGGGAUAACUGCGGGAAACUGUAGCUAAUACCGGAUACGACCCUCGGAGGCAUCUCCUGGGGGUGGAAAGAAUUUCGGUCAAGGAUGGACUCGCGGCCUAUCAGCUAGUUGGUGAGGUAACGGCUCACCAAGGCGACGACGGGUAGCCGGCCUGAGAGGGUGACCGGCCACACUGGGACUGAGACACGGCACAGACUCGUACGGGAGGCAGCAGUGGGGAAUAUUGCACAAUGGGCGCAAGCCUGAUGCAGCAACGCCGCGUGAGGGAUGACGGCCUUCGGGUUGUAAACCUCUUUUAGCAGGGAAGAAGCGAAAGUGACGGUACCUGCAGAAAAAGCACCGGCUAACUACGUGCCAGCAGCCGCGGUAA